CCAAUAGCGUAUAUUAAAGUUGUUGCAGUUAAAAAGCUCGUAGUUGAAUUUCGGGGUCAGUAGGUCGGUCAUGCCACUGGUAUGUACUGGUCUCACUGAUUCCUCCUUCCUGAUGAACCGUAAUGCCAUUAAUUUGGUGUUGCGGGGAGACUGGACUGUUACUUUGAAAAAAUUAGAGUGUUUAAAGCAGGCUAACGCUUGAAUACAUUAGCAUGGAAUAACGGAAUAGGACGUUCGAUCUUAUUUUGUUGGUUUCUAAGAUUGACGUAAUGAUUAAUAGGGAUAGUUGGGGGCAUUAGUAUUCAAUUGUCAGAGGUGAAAUUCUUGGAUUUAUUGAAGAAUAACUACUGCGAAAGCAUUUGCCAAGGAUGUUUUCAUGAAUCAAGAACGAAAGUUAGGGGAUCGAAGACGAUCAGAUACCGUCGUAGUCUUAACCAUAAACUAUGCCGACUAGGGAUCGGAUGAUGUUAAUUUUUUAAUGACUCAUUCGGCGCCUUACG
rnacentral:rRNA from 1 species